UUAUCUUUAAAUGUUUUUAAUUAUUUAAUUUACCAUGAAAAUUGAAUGUAAACAUAACCUCACUUCGAUAUCGCUUCUAUCAGGCCUAAAAAGAUCAUUCCACAACUGCCUUGAGCUAUUAUCACCAGUAUCAACCAACAAAUUACUAAAUUAACCUUUUUUUUGGGCUUUGUCGUAUAGUAGUAGUAGUUAAAGUAGAUAAAUUUGGUUUUUCCAUUAUCACGAAGUCUCAUCAACAGGUUUGGUAAAUUAUCUGAUAAUUAAAAGAGCUUGUACAUUUAGAAAGUUUAAAAUGGAAUGUGUAAAGAAAGAAACUUUAUCAUCAAUGUGAGGCAUACGAAAAAUAAAAUACAAGGGAAGGUCAUACACAUCAAGUAAAAAAGAAUCUAUAUUAUAGUAAUAUAACCAAACCAUGUCAUACAUUAUUAUUUUUUUAAAUUUUGCAUAAUCGUAUUGAUCGUAGGUGAGGUUACCAAUGAUAAUUAUAGAAAUUUGUUUUUGUACUAAUAAAAUGUUGUAAAUAUGUUA